rnacentral:rRNA from 1 species
GGAAUAUUGGACAAUGGGCGAAAGCCUGAUCCAGCCAUGCCGCGUGAGUGAAGAAGGCCUUAGGGUUGUAAAGCUCUUUCACCGGGGAAGAUAAUGACGGUACCCGGAGAAGAAGCCCCGGCUAACGCCGGGCCAGCAGCCGCGGUAAUACGGGGGGGGCUAGCGUUGUUCGGAAUUACUGGGCGUAAAGCGCGCGUAGGCGGCUUGCCAAGUUGGGGGGGAAAGCCCGGGGCUCAACCCUGGAAUUGCCUUCAAGACUGGCGAGCUAGAGUCCGGGAGAGGUGAGUGGAAUUCCCAGUGUAGAGGUGAAAUUCGUAGAUAUUGGGAAGAACACCAGUGGCGAAGGCGGCUCACUGGACCGGUACUGACGCUGAGGUGCGAAAGCGUGGGGAGCAAAC